rnacentral:rRNA from 2 species
UACGGAGGGUGCGAGCGUUGUCCGGAAUCACUGGGCGUAAAGGGCGCGUAGGCGGCUUCUUAAGCGUGUGGUGAAAGCUCGGGGCUCAACCUCGAGUCGGCCAUGCGAACUGGGAGGCUUGAGCACUGUAGAGGCAGGUGGAAUUCCGGGUGUAGCGGUGGAAUGCGUAGAGAUCCGGAAGAACACCGGUGGCGAAGGCGGCCUGCUGGGCAGUAGCUGACGCUGAGGCGCGACAGCGUGGGGAGCAAACAGG